rnacentral:misc_RNA from 1 species
UUCGCGACACCCCUAGCUACAAGUUAACCACAGUGGCUACAGAGCCCUGAGUGGCUACAACCACUACAACCACCCUGGUUGCCCUGGCUGCUCUGGCUACAACCACUACAACUUCGAACAAAGGCGGCAGCUGAUCGUGGGGUCUGCGCUCUGCACGUGAAAGUGAAGUCGGUUUCGCGUCCAGACACUUGUCGACUUCCUAUUCAACAAACAGGUCCUAGUCAUCUCAUGGUCCCGUGCAUCCUUCGUGAUCUUACAAGCCUACUUACGAACCUGGCCGCAUACUGCAAUUCGAAUGGAACCGAUCCAGUCGUCAAGUCGUGAAACAGAUUAAGCUGGUCAACCGGAAGGCAUCGCGGCCACAGGAAGUUCCGCCAUUACUUGUUUGUUUACCUUGGAAUACCAUGUAAGUGUUCCAAGGUAAACACUCCUGGGUUAAAUAAAGAAUACCAAUAUCAAUAAUUCAAACUCCUAGCAAUCCUGCUACCAUCAUUCAUCAUCAUUUUUUUCUUUGAGUGCUCGUGGGGCAUUAUACA